rnacentral:rRNA from 1 species
AACGUAGGAGGCAAGCGUUAUCCGGAGUAACUGGGCGUAAAGGGCGUGUAGGUGGUUGAGUAAGUUGGUUAUGAAAGCUCCUGGCUAAACUGGGAGAGGUUGACCAAGACUGCACAACUUGAGUGGAGAAGAGGUAAACGGAAUUCCGCGUGUAGUGGUGAAAUGCGUAGAGAUGCGGAAGAACACCAGUGGCGAAGGCGGUUUACUGGUCUCCAACUGACACUGAGCCGCGAAAGCAUGGGUAGCGAACGGGAUUAGAAACCCCAGUAGU